rnacentral:lncRNA from 1 species
AUUUCAGGGCAAGAGUUGUCUGUUUUUCACAGUUCUGUCCAGUUGUGCCAAGGUCGGCAUUGGUUUCCGUUGGAGAUUUCAGGGUUGGCCCCUUGUGCCCCUACUUCUGAUGGGCCCACAAAAUUUUUGUCAUGCCCAUUCGAUUCUUCGGAUAUACUAUGGUAAUCAAAAUUUUUCCCCCUACUUCCUAUCUCAUCGCGUUUCCGAGAUAAAAGGGUGGUACGAGGGCUCGAAAAUAUCCGGCAUAUUCAAUGUAAUCUGUCAAUAUGAUGAAAUAUAUCAAUGUAUUAAUUGCUUUUUAAAGAAAAUUAUGGAAAAUGAAUGAAAAAUAUAUUACACUAUAUGCUGUAUGAAUUUAAACAGGAAACAAUGCUACUUUCCUGUUACAUAGAACAUAACAGAGGUUUAUGGAAAUUAUCUUGGAAGUGAGAAAGUAUGAAAGAUAGUUUAAAAAAAUUUAGAAUGGAUCAGUUAGAUUGGGAGGAUGAUCAGCAUUUUAGAUAGCUAGUUAAGUUUGAUGAUGAUGCCCUUGUCACUUUUACCAAAAAUUCAUUCUUAUUUGUCAGCUGGGGAAUUGGUUAUGAAACUUAAUUCAGCCAGUUCUAAUGUACUCUAUCAUUUAGAGAUGCUUGGAUAAACUUGAAAAAUGGUUAUUGCAUGAAUUAACUCAAAUGUGCCAUAGCAUGUAAACAUUUGCUUAUCUUUGAUAUACUGUUAAGGAGAACAAUCAUUUUUAGAAUAAUUACAGGAAACGAAAAAUGAAUUAUUUACAACAAUAUUAAAUGGAAACACAAUACAUUGACAAAAAUAUCCUAUCAAAAUCUUGAGCCAAAGAUAGUUUGUACCUGAAAAGAUAAUACUCUGCAUUUAAUGGGAUAUGAAAGAGCCACUUAAUUUGAAGUGCUAAAUCAGAAUCAAACAAUUAUCAAGCGAUAGAUAGUGCAAUCAACAACGGGACUAUCUAUGAUCAGUUGAUAUUGAUAUAUAUAGUUAUAUAUCAAUAUCAACUGAUCAUAGAUAUAUUGAUAUUGAUAUUGAUUUAUAUAUUGUUAAUAUUGAUAUAAU